UACGUAGGGAGCGAGCGUUGUCCGGAUUCAUUGGGCGUAAAGAGCUCGUAGGCGGCUUGGCAAGUCGGGUGUGAAAACUCCAGGCUCAACCUGGAGACGCCACCCGAUACUGCCAUGGCUAGAGUCCGGUAGGGGACCACGGAAUUCCUGGUGUAGCGGUGAAAUGCGCAGAUAUCAGGAGGAAUACCGAUGGCGAAGGCAGGUCUCUGGGCUGACACUGACGCUCAUGCACGAAAGCGUGGGGAGCAAACAGG
rnacentral:rRNA from 1 species